rnacentral:rRNA from 1 species
AUUGAACGCUGGCGGCAGGCCUAACACAUGCAAGUCGAACGAGUGGCGGACGGGUGAGUAAUGUCUGGGAAACUGCCCGAUGGAGGGGGAUAACUACUGGAAACGGUAGCUAAUACCGCAUACCAUCGGAUGUGCCCAGAUGGGAUUAGCUAGUAGGUGGGGUAACGGCUCACCUAGGCGACGAUCCCUAGCUGGUCUGAGAGGAUGACCAGCCACACUGGGACUGGGACACGGUCCAGACUCCUACGGGAGGCAGCAGUUGGGAAUAUUGCACAAUGGGCGAGAGCCGGAUGCAGGCGUGCCGCGUGUAUGAAGAAGGCCUUCGGGUUGUAAAGUACUUUCAGCGAGGAGGCGUUGCUCGCAGAAGAAGCACCGGCUAACACCGUGCCAGCAGCCGCGGUAAUAC